UACGUAGGGUGCAAGCGUUGUCCGGAAUUAUUGGGCGUAAAGAGCUCGUAGGCGGUCUGUCGCGUCGGCUGUGAAAACCCGGGGCUCAACCCCGGGCCUGCAGUCGAUACGGGCAGACUAGAGUGCGGUAGGGGAGACUGGAAUUCCUGGUGUAGCGGUGAAAUGCGCAGAUAUCAGGAGGAACACCGGUGGCGAAGGCGGGUCUCUGGGCCGUAACUGACGCUGAGGAGCGAAAGCGUGGGGGAGCGAACAGG
rnacentral:rRNA from 1 species